AUUGAACGCUGGCGGCAGGCCUAACACAUGCAAGUCGAACGAGUGGCGGACGGGUGAGUAAUGUCUGGGAAACUGCCUGAUGGAGGGGGAUAACUACUGGAAACGGUAGCUAAUACCGCAUACCAUUGGAUGUGCCCAGAUGGGAUUAGUUAGUAGGUGGGGUGAAGGCUCACCUAGGCGACGAUCCCUAGCUGGUCUGAGCGGAUGACCGGCCACACGGGAACUGAGGCACGGUCCAGACUCCUACGGGAGGAAGCAGUGGAGAAUAGUGCACAAUGGGCACAAGGCUGAUGCAGCCAUGCAGCGUGGAUGAAGAAGGCCUUCGGGUUGUAAAGUACUUUCAGCGGUGAGGCGUUACCCGCAGAAGAAGCACCGGCUAACUCCGUGCCAGCCGCCGCGGUAAUAC
rnacentral:rRNA from 1 species